AGUUUGAUCCUGGCUCAGAGCGAACGCUGGCGGCAGGCUUAACACAUGCAAGUCGAGCGGGCGUAGCAAUACGUCAGCGGCAGACGGGUGAGUAACGCGUGGGAACGUACCUUUUGGUUCGGAACAACACAGGGAAACUUGUGCUAAUACCGGAUAAGCCCUUACGGGGAAAGAUUUAUCGCCGAAAGAUCGGCCCGCGUCUGAUUAGCUAGUUGGUGAGGUAACGGCUCACCAAGGCGACGAUCAGUAGCUGGUCUGAGAGGAUGAUCAGCCACAUUGGGACUGAGACACGGCCCAAACUCCUACGGGAGGCAGCAGUGGGGAAUAUUGGACAAUGGGCGCAAGCCUGAUCCAGCCAUGCCGCGUGAGUGAUGAAGGCCCUAGGGUUGUAAAGCUCUUUUGUGCGGGAAGAUAAUGACGGUACCGCAAGAAUAAGCCCCGGCUAACUUCGUGCCAGCAGCCGCGGUAAU
rnacentral:rRNA from 1 species